UAGGGAAUCUUCCGCAAUGGACGCAAGUCUGACGGAGCAACGCCGCGUGUGUGAAGAAGGUCUUCGGAUCGUAAAGCACUGUUAUUAGAGAAGAACAGCCACUAGAGUAACUGUUAGUGGUUUGACGGUAUCUAACCAGAAAGUGACGGCUAACUACGUGCCAGCAGCCGCGGUAAUACGUAGGUCACAAGCGUUGUCCGGAUUUAUUGGGCGUAAAGGGAGCGCAGGCGGUUUGUUAAGUCUGAUGUGAAAGGCCACGGCUCAACCGUGGAGGUGCAUUGGAAACUGGCAAACUUGAGUGCAGAAGAGGAAAGUGGAAUUCCAUGUGUAGCGGUGAAAUGCGUAGAUAUAUGGAGGAACACCAGUGGCGAAGGCGACUUUCUGGUCUGUAACUGACGCUGAGGCUCGAAAGCAUGGGGAGCAAACAGG
rnacentral:rRNA from 2 species